CUACGACCUCAGAUCUAACGUGUUGACCAACUGAAUUCAAGCAUUUUACUAAGGAGAGGAAAAGAUUCCCUCAGUAAUGGCAAGUUAAGAGGGAAGAGCCCAGCGCUGAAUCCCCGUCCAGAGGCGGCUGUGGAAUUUGUUGUACAGAGGACUUACUCCCCGGUGUCACUCAGGGUGCCCAAGUCCUUCGGAUUGAAGCUCAUGCCAUGUACAUUAUUAGGCUGGGAUUGGGUCAUCUUGGAGUCAGGUUACUUGUGAAUGCAGCCCAAAGUAGGUGGUAAACUUCAUCUGAGGCUAACUACGGUCAAAAGACCGAUUGUCAACAUGUACCGUAAGGGAGAGUUCAAGAGGGCAUGAAAUUGAGAAACAAACAGGUGUGGUCUGCGCUUUCCGUUGAGAGGAUUCAACAUGGCAGGCAGCUCGGUCACCCGGAAUGGCGGAUCCACUCGAGUGACCGCUGCCUGGGCACACAAUACCCCCGCAGGGUGCAUUUCCUCCUUUGCGCUGCAAACACUUGUGUAUAGGCGCAUUACAAAUGCCAUAUCAUAUCAUAUCAUAUCACUGUAACUAGCCCAGGUUGGAUGGGUAGGUCCUGGGGGGCAGGUGGCUCUGCGCUCUGGUAGAGUGUUUUACAGCCUCCUGGCAGCAGUUUCGCCAUGUCUCUGCUGCUGAGGGAGAUUGACCACCACCAUGCCGCCCUGCGGCACCAAUCUCAGCCCCUCUUGGGGGUCACCGGGCAGUGAAAAGGAUGUGACUCCGUGCUCCCGGCGAGACAGUCAUCUGGCGUGGACUGGCCUCAGUGCAACCCAACAGCAUUGUGCAGCUGGACGGGGAGGCCCAAGAAGGGCGCCAGGAGUCUGCUGUGAUGUCGCUAAUCCACCCAACCUGUCUUGAAACACAGACAAAGAAGUCUAAGACGUGCGUGAGUUGGAGGGUCAAACAAAACCCUGUGGUACAAUAAAUGUUAGGGCUGGAGCUUGCCGGCUGAGAUGACAUCAUGUUGCAGCAUCGCAGAAUGCUCACCACUGAUCUAUCUCGCCUGCUAUGACAGGGCGGUGUAGAAUGAGCACACGUGAUAAGACCCGAAAGAUAGAGAACUAUGCCUGGGCAGGGCGAAGCAGAGAAAACUCUGGUGGAUUUCCAUAGCGGUCCUGACUUGCAAUUUGGUCUUCAGUCCUCCUGGUUAUAGGGUUGAAACACUAAUUUCAUCAUCUAGUAGCUGGUUCCCUCCAAAGUUUCCCUCAGGAUAGCUUGCUCUCUAAAACCGCAGUUUUAUCUGGUAAAGCAGAAGAGUAGAGGUCUUGUGAAUGAAACAAUCUCAACCAGUUCUCAAACUUGAAAUAGGUAGGAAGCCCAGCUCACUGGAGUGGAGCCAGUCAGUGAAUGAGAGUGCCCAGUGGGCCGGAUUUGGUAAGCAGAACUGGCGCUGUGGGAUGAACUUAACUCCGGGUUAAGGCACCUGAUGCCAAUUCUCAUAAGACCCCUGAAAAGGUGUUGGUUGAUAUAGACAGCAGGAUGGUGGCUAUGUAAAUCGGAAUCCACUAAUGAGUAUGUAACAACUCACCUGCUGAAUCAACUAACCCUGAACAUGGAUGGCACUGGAGUAUCAGACCAUUACCGACCGUCGCCGGCUCUGACAAGAAUGAGGACUGCUGUGGUGCUCACAGGUGCUGAUCUUGGUGGUAGUAGCAAAUGUUCAAAUAUUCAAAUGAGAACGUUGAAGGCCGAAGUAGACAAGGGUUCCAUGUGAACAGCAGUUGAACUUGGGUCAGUCGGUUCUAAGAGAUAAUCGAGCGCCAUUCGGAAAGGAUGGACGACAUCCUCCAUUGCCAUCAGACAAUCAAAAUGGAAUCGGGUUUAGGUCCCCGAACCCUUAGUUGCGAAAACAGGUGACUUUGCUGCAUCCAGUCUGGUAACAUAAAUGAUCUCAAAGAAGACAGCAGGAGAUCUGGGAGAGUUCUCUUUUCUUUGUGAAGGGCAGAGCACCCUGAAUGGGUUAGCUCUUAGAGAGGGGCCUGAGCCUUGGAAAGCAUUGUAGUUCUGGCAGGAUACAGUGAGCUCUCGCUGGUCCUUGAAAAUCCAGGGAGGGGAGGUGGGUUAAUCUCGUGCCUGGCCAUAGCCAUAUACCAGCAGGUCUCCAAGGUGAACAACCUCUGGUAUGUUGGACCAAUGUAGGUAAGGGAAGUUGGCAAAUCAAAUCCUGAACUUUGUAUAAGAAAUGGCUCUAAUGGCUGGGUCAGUUGGGCUGGGGCAUGAAGCGUGGAUGGGUGUGGGCCGAAGCUGGACGAGGCGCUUCUCUUAAGGGGUCAGCGCUGACUCUGGACAUGAGCUGGGCCCUUCAUGUGGAUCUCCCCCGCUGUGGUGGUCGCCUCUCUUCAGUCCCCUCCCGGUAUACAGGGCCGGUGUCCUGCCUCAGCCGAUGCCUAUCAGCUGACUUAAAACUGGUGCGUACCAGGGGAAUCUGACUUUUUAAUUAAAAGAAAGCAUCAUGAAGGCCCGUAGCAGGUGUUGAUGCAAUGCGAUUUCUGCCCAGUGCUUUGAAUGUCAAAGUGAAGAAAUUCAAUGAAGUGCUGGAAAAUGGAGGGAGGAAUUAUGACUUUUUUAUGGUAGCCCAAUCCCACAUUAUCUAAUUAGUGACGGGCAUGAAUGGAUGAACAAGAUUCACACUGUCCCUACCUACUAUCUAGCAAAACCACAGCCAAGGAAUGGGUGUGUCAGUAUCAGCAGGAAAGAGGACCUGCUGUGCUUGUCUCUAGUCUGGUACUGUGUUGAGACAUGAAAGGUGCACGACAAGUGGGAGGCCAUUGGGCCGCUGAUGAAAUUUCACUACGCUUAUCAUUUUUUCAUUUAACAGUGUGGGCAGGGGGUGAGCCUCGUGGGGCUCUCGCUUCUAGCUCCAAGUGCCCGGCACUGAGCUGGGGUGGUACACCUGUAAAAUGAUAAUGCAGGUGUUAUAUGGCGAGCUCAGGGAGGACAGAAACCUCCAACGGAGCAGAUGGGCAAAAGCUUGCUUGAUCUCGAUUUUCAGUAUGAAUACCGUUGAACACUGUUCAUGUUUGUAACUUGCAUGCAUGCUUUCAAAUUACCCAUACUGUAUCAAUCCCUACUGCCUCCUUUGCGCCCUUGAUCACAUGUGCUCCGAGUAAUGCUUCUCACUUGAUUGUGCC
rnacentral:rRNA from 1 species